AAAUUGAAGAGUUUGAUCAUGGCUCAGAUUGAACGCUGGCGGCAGGCCUAACACAUGCAAGUCGAACGGUAACAGGAAGCAGCUUGCUGCUUUGCUGACGAGUGGCGGACGGGUGAGUAAUGUCUGGGAAACUGCCUGAUGGAGGGGGAUAACUACUGGAAACGGUGGCUAAUACCGCAUAACGUCGCAAGACCAAAGAGGGGGACCUUCGGGCCUCUUGCCAUCAGAUGUGCCCAGAUGGGAUUAGCUUGUUGGUGAGGUAACGGCUCACCAAGGCGACGAUCCCUAGCUGGUCUGAGAGGAUGACCAGCCACACUGGAACUGAGACACGGUCCAGACUCCUACGGGAGGCAGCAGUGGGGAAUAUUGCACAAUGGGCGCAAGCCUGAUGCAGCCAUGCCGCGUGUAUGAAGAAGGCCUUAGGGUUGUAAAGUACUUUCAGCGGGGAGGAAGGUGUUGCGGUUAAUAACC
rnacentral:rRNA from 3 species